GAAAUGCCUAUUGCUCAUAACUGAUUUCUAGAAGGAAAAAAAAGAUUUUCAGCUGAAAGAUUAUGUAUGGCAUUCCACUGGAAGUUUUGAGUGUUGAUCAUGUCAAUAAGGUCUGGCAACGACUGCAUGCCAGAGCAUGGUCUUAGAUAUCGUCAGCAAAGAGUGUGAGCUCCCCACGGAAGAAAGUGUUCAUCUGAAGAGCUUUCUGUGGAAACCUGGCUGCUCAGCCUUUGCGGGCUCACGCUAGUCUCUCCAGGGAGACCCCGAGUCCUGACCCUUCUUGUUGCUCUCCUGGCACUGCCACGAGGGAUCCCAGUCUGCCAGGAGCAGUGACACCACUGACUGUGCUGUGCUACUUGCCAGCCCAAACUGACUGCUGCCCCAAGGACAGACAAUGUUCUGCCCCCCUCCAGGCAGGCAGCCUCCAGGUGGACUGCCCAGGGCUGUGAUGUCAUGUGCAUCAUCUCCGGACAGGCAGGGACAUCUCUUGGAACGUGUGCCAGGAUCACGCGAGCAGCAGGCUGGGAGACUGGCUUCUCAUAGCCCGUUAACCACAUUCGGCUCCUCAGCUGGAAAUGCCCUCAUAAUUACCAGGAAGAGCCGUCGCCGAGCUCGUCACCUAAAACACCAAGAAGCGAGGUUUCCAAGAGCGUCCACCACCGGCCUCAUUCCUGACAGCCCCUUUGCCUCAGGGGACAUCACAAAACUCUGACUAUGUGCAAGGGGAAACACGUCUGGGAGACCUCUUUCUUUUCCCACAGCAGGUUGUGGCCCUGCUCAGAAUGGACUGCCAGCGAAAGACAGAAGAAAUGGAAGGGAAAUACACGGACAAAAGGAUGCGGGCAGCUGAAGAGGACAACACAGAAGAGGACAAAGCCACGUUAUCUGGUCAAGAGCAAGCAGCCUUGUGGGUCAGCACUGUGUCUUCAGUGCCAGGAUAUGAGCUGCCUGAUUUCAAAUUGUUGCUGUUGGUUAAGUUUCUGCUCAUCACUGGUCUGAUGCUCGUUCUUAGUCGCCCAGAGUCUCCCGUCAUAUAUGUCCUUUGAGAAAGACAGUUCGGGAAUAACGACGACGUGAAAAUGAAAUGGCAGUUUUCCAUUUCGUGUCAU
rnacentral:lncRNA from 1 species